GAUGAACGCUGGCGGCGUGCUUAACACAUGCAAGUCGAACGAACCUUCGGGUUAGUGGCGGACGGGUGAGUAACGCGUGAGAAUCUGCCCUCAGGAGGGGGAUAACGGCUGGAAACGGCCGCUAAUACCCCAUAUGCCGAGAGGUGAAAUGAAUUUCGCCUGAGGAUGAGCUCGCGUCUGAUUAGCUAGUUGGUGUGGUAAAGGCUCACCAAGGCAUCGAUCAGUAGCUGGUCUGAGAGGAUGAUCAGCCACACUGGGACUGAGACACGGCCCAGACUCCUACGGGAGGCAGCAGUGGGGAAUUUUCCGCAAUGGGCGCAAGCCUGACGGAGCAACGCCGCGUGAGGGAUGAAGGCCUCUGGGCUGUAAACCUCUUUUAUCAAGGAAGAAGAUCUGACGGUACUUGAUGAAUAAGCCACGGCUAAUUCCGUGCCAGCAGCCGCGGUAAUACGGGAGUGGCAAGCGUUAUCCGGAAUUAUUGGGCGUAAAGCGUCCGCAGGCGGUCUUGAAAGUCUGUUGUUAAAGCGUGGAGCUCAACUCCAUUUCAGCAAUGGAAACUAGAAGACUAGAGUGUGGUAGGGGCAGAGGGAAUUCCCGGUGUAGCGGUGA
rnacentral:rRNA from 1 species